AAUAUUGGACAAUGGGCGAAAGCCUGAUCCAGCCAUGCCGCGUGUGUGAAGAAGGUCUUCGGAUUGUAAAACACUUUAAGUGGGGAGGAAGGGCAGUAAGCUAAUACCUUGCUGUUUUGACGUUACCGACAGAAUAAGCACCGGCUAACUCUGUGCCAGCAGCCGCGGUAAUACAGAGGGUGCAAGCGUUAAUCGGAAUUACUGGGCGUAAAGCGCGCGUAGUGGGUUCGUUAAGUUGGAAGUGAAAGCCCCGGGCUUAACCUGGGAAUUGCUUACAAAACUGACGAGCUAGAGUACGGUAGAGGGUAGUGGAAUUUCCUGUUUAGCGGUGAAAUGCGUAGAUAUAGGAAGGAGCAUCAGUGGCGAAGGCGACUACCUGGACUGAUACUGACACUGAGGUGCGAAAGCAUGGGGAGCAAACAGG
rnacentral:rRNA from 1 species